GAACGCACAUUGCGCCUCCGGGUAUUCCUGGAGGCAUGCCUGUUCGAGCGUCGUUAAAGACCAUAAGGCUUUGCCUUGCGAUGAGCUUCUGACAGUCUCUCCGGAGAAAGCCAGUUGCUUCAAACUGAUUGGCGUCUGAAGUUAGCCCAAGCACAGCAAAAUGUGUUCUGAGUCUCACGAACGACUGCCCGUACCCCAAAUCAUUUAUUGGUCGACCUCGGAUCAGGCAAGAUUACCCGCUGAACUUAAG
rnacentral:misc_RNA from 1 species